GCAUAUCAAUAAGCGGAGGAAAAGAAACCAACAGGGAUUGCCUCAGUAACGGCGAGUGAAGCGGCAAGAGCUCAAAUUUGAAAUCUAGUACCUUCGGUGCUCGAGUUGUAAUUUGAAGAAGGCUAUCUUGGAUUUGGCCUUUAUCUAUGUUCCUUGGAACAGGACGUCACAGAGGGUGAGAAUCCCGUGCGAUGAGGUGUCCAUUUCUAUGUAAGAUGCUUUCGAAGAGUCGAGUUGUUUGGGAAUGCAGCUCUAAGUGGGUGGUAAAUUCCAUCUAAAGCUAAAUAUUGGCGAGAGACCGAUAGCGAACAAGUACAGUGAUGGAAAGAUGAAAAGAACUUUGAAAAGAGAGUGAAAAAGUACGUGAAAUUGUUGAAAGGGAAGGGUAUUAGAUCAGACUUGGUAUUUAGUUAUCAUUGCUCCUUGUGGGUGGUGCUCUAGCUUUUUACUGGGCCAACAUCAGUUUUGGUGGCAAGAUAAUGACAUUUGAAUGUGGCUCCUCGGAGUGUUAUAGCUUUUGUUGAUAUUGCCUACCGGGACUGAGGUCUGCGGCUUUGCCUAGGAUGUUGGCGUAAUGAUCCAAUACCGCCCGUCUUGAAACAUGGACCAAGGAGUCUAACGUCUAUGCGAGUGUUUGGGUGUAAAACCCGUACGCGUAAUGAAAGUGAACGUAGGUCAGGGCCCCUUUUGGGGUGCACGAUCGACCGAUCCUGAUGUUUUCAGAUGGAUUUGAGUAAGAGCAUAGCUGUUGGGACCCGAAAGAUGGUGAACUAUGCCUGAAUAGGGUGAAGCCAGAGGAAACUCUGGUGGAGGCUCGUAGCGGUUCUGACGUGCAAAUCGAUCGUCAAAUUUGGGUAUAGGGCGAAAGACUAAUCGAACCAUCUAGUAGCUGGUUCCUGCCGA
rnacentral:rRNA from 1 species